rnacentral:tRNA from 2 species
GCCGAGGUGGCGGAAUUGGCAGACGCGCUAGCUUGAGGGGCUAGUGAUCUUCGGAUUGUGCGGGUUCAAAUCCCGCCCUCGGCA